rnacentral:rRNA from 1 species
AUAACAAUGAUUCCCCUAGUAACGGCGAGUGAAGAGGGAAUGGCUCAAAUUUAAAAUCUCUUUUGAGAAUUGUAGUUUAAAGAUUUUUAAGUAUGGAAGUUUAGAUUAAAGUCUGCUGGAAAGCACGUGCUAGAAAGGGUGAUAGCCCCGUUCAAUCUUUAACAACCUAAUCAACUUUUUAAUCAAAGAGUCAGAUUGCUUGGGAAUGCAGUCUAAAUUUGGUGGUAAACUCCAUCUAAAGCUAAAUAUUGAUCAGUGACCGAUAGCAAACAAGUACCGUGAGGGAAAGAUGAAAAGAACCUUGAAAAGGGGGUUAAAAGUACGUGAAAUUGUUAUUAGGAAAGCACUUGUUAUUAUUGUGGACUAGUUUCAGUCUGUUUCGGCAGAUACUGGGCUAGUUAGUUAUGAUUAGUUAGAGUAGAUUUAAAAAAAUAAUUGGAAGGUAGUCGGGUAAACCAACACUUACAGACUUUUAUAAUAAAUCUAUUCUGACUAAGGAAAGCGAUUAAAAUUUAAUAGUAUUAAAGGUUAAUUGAGAUUUGUUAAGCCAGUUUACUGAUUAAUAAAUUAAUUUUGUCUUUAGUUUUAAUAAACUUAAUCAAGGAUCAUAAUUAAAUAAUACCAAAUGACCCGUCUUGAAACACGGACCAAGGAGUCUAACAUGAUUGCAAGUUAUAAGGUGAAAAACCUUUAAGCGAAAUGAAAGUGAAAAUGAUAAGAUUUUUUUGCACUAUCAACCUAACUUGAUGAUUUUUCUGACAGUUUAGAGUAAGAGCAGUUAUGCUGGGACCCGAAAGAUGGUGAGCUAUGCUUGAAUAGGGCAAAGCCAGAGGAAACUCUGGUGGAGGCUCGUAGCGAUUCUGACGUGCAAAUCGAUCGUCAAAUUGAGCAUAGGGGCGAAAGACUAAUCGACUCCUC